rnacentral:rRNA from 1 species
AAUGAACGUUGGCGGCGUGGAUUGGGCAUGCAAGUCGAGCGAGAACCCAGCAAUGGGGGACAGCGGCGCAAGGGACAGUAAUGUGUAGAUUAUCUGCCCUCGGGUCCGGGAUAGCUGCGGGAAACUGCAGGUAAUACCGGAUAACAUCUCCGGAUCAAAGGUGUGAUUCCGCCCGAGGAUGAGUCUGCAUCCUAUUAGCUAGUUGGCAGGGUAAUGGCCUACCAAGGCGAUGAUGGGUAGCGGGUGUGAGAGCACGACCCGCGUCAUUGGGACUGAGACACUGCCCAGACACCUACGGGUGGCUGCAGUCGAGAAUCUUCGGCAAUGGGCGCAAGCCUGGCCGAGCGACGCCGCGUGUGGGAUGAAGGCCUUCGGGUUGUAAACCACUGUCAGAGGGGAUGAAAUGCAGGUGGGUUCUCCCAUCUGUUUGACAUAGCCUCAGAGGAAGGACGGGCUAAGUUCGUGCCAGCCGCCGCAGUAACAC